AUCUGUAGUUCAAUGGUAGAACGUUAGCUUCCCAAGCUGAAUACACGGGUUCGAUUCCCGCCAGAU
rnacentral:tRNA from 1 species